GACCUGCAAGAAAAGUCUAAACCAGAGUUGGGGGUGCUCCGGUAAGAUCUUCCGAUGCUCAAGUCAGUACUCUACCUCAACAGAAAUGGAGCACUCGAAUGAAAUUUUAACAGAGUUUCGAGAUAGAGUUUAGAGCUUUGAGAAGAACGUAUCUGGAAGGGUCUCUUUUAUAGAUGGGGGAGCGUAACUGCUUGACAGCGACAUCUAUAACUGCCUGGUAGUGGGCCGUUCAGGGCCACGUGAAGUUUGUUACGGAGAGUGGAGUGGUGUCCAUUGUCGCG
rnacentral:lncRNA from 1 species